rnacentral:rRNA from 1 species
CGUAGGUGGCGAGCGUUAUCCGGAAUUACUGGGCGUAAAGCGUGUGCAGGCGGGCUAGCAAGUGGUGUAUGAAAGCUCCCGGCUCAACCGGGAAGGGUUAUGCCAGACUGCUAGUCUUGAGUGCGAGAGAGGAGCGUGGAAUUCCGGGUGUAGUGGUGAAAUGCGUAGAGAUCCGGAGGAACCCCAGAGGCGAAGGCGGCGCUCUGGCUCGCAACUGACGCUCAGACACGACAGCAUGGGGAGCGAACGGGAUUAGAAACCCCGGUAGUCCAUGCCGUAAACGAUGCUAACUAGGCGCUGCGGGACUCAACCCCCGCGGUGCCGCAGCCAACGCGAUAAGUUAGCCGCCUGGGGAGUACGGCCGCAAGGCUA